AUUAAACGCUGGCGGCAUGCCUUACACAUGCAAGUCGAACGGCAGCACGGGGGCAACCCUGGUGGCGAGUGGCGAACGGGUGAGUAAAGCAUCGGAACGUGCCCUGGAGUGGGGGAUAACGUAGCGAAAGUUACGCUAAUACCGCAUACGAUCUAAGGAUGAAAGCGGGGGACUCGCAAGAGCCUCGCGCGAUUGGAGCGGCCGAUAUCAGAUUAGGUAGUUGGUGGGGUAAAGGCUCACCAAGCCAACGAUCUGUAGCUGGUCUGAGAGGACGACCAGCCACACUGGAACUGAGACACGGUCCAGACUCCUACGGGAGGCAGCAGUGGGGAAUUUUGGACAAUGGACGCAAGUCUGAUCCAGCCAUUCCGCGUGCAGGAUGAAGGCCCUCGGGUUGUAAACUGCUUUGUACGGACGAAAAGGUUUCUAUUAAUACUAGGAGCUCAUGACGGUACCGUAAGAAUAAGCACCGGCUAACUACGUGCCAGCAGCCGC
rnacentral:rRNA from 1 species